AAGUCAGUGACGUUGAGUUUACACGACUGUACAUGAAGCGCAUACAGCCGUUAACAGCGGUGUAGAAUGUGCUUCCUUUAGGAUCCUUGUGAUAAAGACCAUCAUGAAAUUUACUGCUAGUCUGUUGAGAAGAGCUUGCAGGGAGUGUCAGUGGCCUAGUUGGAUACUAUCCGAUGUUUUCUCUGGGGAGGAUGGGCUGAAUAAAAUCUUAAAGAGUUCAGCAAGGAUAGUAAGUGCCCCAGAUAGUAUUCAAGUCAGUCACCUCCUCAAUACAAAUCAGAACAUUAUUGCAAGAGCCAACUUGCUUGGUCAAGUGACAGAUUGAUAACUUCAUGGUCAGAUUAAUAUUUUUUUCAAUGAAAACAACAUACAUCCGUUGCUUACACUCCUUAAUGCUGUUAAGAAAACUUGACCAGUUUAUUACCAUAUAUUUAAAAAAAGAAGUGGAUGAUGUUCUGGGAGGAGCUGCAGCAUGGGAGAAUGUAGACUCAACAGAUGAGCG